rnacentral:rRNA from 1 species
GACGAACGCUGGCGGCGUGCUUAACACAUGCAAGUCGAACGGAAAGGCCCUGCUUUUGUGGGGUGCUCGAGUGGCGAACGGGUGAGUAACACGUGAGUAACCUGCCCUUGACUUUGGGAUAACUUCAGGAAACUGGGGCUAAUACCGGAUAGGAGCUCCUGCUGCAUGGUGGGGGUUGGAAAGUUUCGGCGGUUGGGGAUGGACUCGCGGGUUAUCAGCUUGUUGGUGGGGUAGUGGCUUACCAAGGCUUUGACGGGUAGCCGGCCUGGGAGGGUGACCGGCCACAUUGGGACUGAGAUACGGCCCAGAACCCUACGGGAGGCAGCAGGGGGGAAUAUUGCACAAUGGGCGGAAGCCUGAUGCAGCAACGCCGCGUGCGGGAUGACGGCCUUCGGGUUGUAAACCGCUUUCGCCUGUGACGAAGCGUGAGUGACGGUAAUGGGUAAAGAAGCACCGGCUAACUACGUG